GCGACACUAGCUCAGUUGGUAGAGCGCAACCUUGCCAAGGUUGGGGUCACGAGUUCGAACCCCGUUUUUCCCUCCA
rnacentral:tRNA from 1 species